rnacentral:tRNA from 1 species
GGUGCCUUGUCCGAACGGUUAGGUAUCGGUCUGCAAAACCGCUCAAGGCAGUUCGACUCUGCCAGGCACCUCAA